rnacentral:tRNA from 1 species
UCCGGGAUCGUCCAAUGGUAAGACGCAUGGCUCUGAACCAUGUAAUCUACGUUCGAAUCGUAGUCCCGGAACCA